CUCGUAGGCGGUUCAGUUAGUCGGGUGUGAAAACUCUGGGCUCAACCCAGAGACGCCACCCGAUACUGCUGUGACUAGAGUACGGUAGGGGAGUGGGGAAUUCCUGGUGUAGCGGUGAAAUGCGCAGAUAUCAGGAGGAACACCAGUGGCGAAGGCGUCACUCUGGGCCGUAACUGACGCUGAGGAGCGAAAGCAUGGGUAGCAAACAGGAUUAGAUACCCUGGUAGUCC
rnacentral:rRNA from 1 species